rnacentral:lncRNA from 1 species
UUCUGUUGGAGGUAUGCCCUAGAGGCAAUCAUAGAGAUGAUGAUAUUCCAUUUGUAUCCAUGAUUUGUAUAUUGUGUUCAUUGAAUAUCCAUUAAAGGCUACUUGAAUUGAUUUGCAAUUAUGUGAAUUGUAUGUGAAACUCUUUACUUGUAUGGUUAUUCUAAAGUUGUCCCUAGUCGGAGUUCAUGUGAGGACACACAUGAAUAUUAGACUAGCACAUGUAUUAGUUGAUGACUAUGUUUCACAAGUCAUGGACAUGGAGAUGUUGAACUAAUAAUGUGGACACAUGUGGAGACAUGUGUUAGGACUGACCCAGCACGAGAAGUAGUUCUCUCUUUAAACAACAUAUACGCUUUGUCCUUAGACCUGAGAUUGUCGCAUGUAUUCUAGAUGUGGAUCGACCUACUUAGGGGCUAUCAAACGCUAUGCCGUAACAGGGUAGUUAUAAAGGUAGCUUUCGGGUUUGUCAAGAAGCAUGCUAUGAGACAUGGUCAAUCAAGAUGGGAUUUGCCCCUCUCUGAUUGAGAGUGAUAUCUCUGGGCCCCUCGAGUGAUCGGAUCCGAAAAUGCAUGGCCAUGCUACGUACGGUUAAGAGUUAACCUACAAAGGGAUUCCGAAUCACAGGAUCGAGAAAGAGCGGUUGGCUUGAAGCUAGACCAAAUAUCGUGAGGCAAAGGGAAUAGCAUGUAUAUUAUGUUGUGAUGGUUCGUCUGAUAUGAUCUUCGUAUGCGUAUAGGAGUUGGCACGUCUUGCUAGAGGCCGCUACCGACUAUUGGGCCGAGUAGGAGUACUCGGGCCAUGUCUAUACGUAUCCGAACCCAUAGGGUCACACACUUAAGGGGCUGGAAGCCCAAUUCGGAUCUGAUCCGAGUUGGAUUAGGUUUAGGAGUACUAAUGGGCCUCGGAUCCAGAGGCCCAUCAGGAACCCCUAUAAAUAGAGGGGUGGGGGCGCCCUAGGGUUUUACACCUUUUGGCUGAACACACCUGCCGCGCCUCCCACGCCCUCGCCUGUUGCAACUCGCGGAUCUAGCAGUCCGGCUUGCGACGCUUCCUCCCUACACGUGUGGAUACCUUGGAGGUGUUGUGCCUGCAGCACUUGGACGAGCCAUCGACGAGCCGCCGACGAGCCACGACGAGCCGACGACGAGCCGCGGUACCAGAGGCGAUCUUGCUGUGCACGUGGACGAGCUGCUGAGGAGCUGCUGGACGUGAUCGACUACGUACGACUACGUUGAUCGACUACGUACGACUACGUGAUCGUCUUCACUGCACCGACGCAUAUCUACAUCUUCCGCACCAGUAGUGCGUCGAGUGGUAAUCCCGUGAUCCUUAUACGGCAGUUCUUCCUGGUUAUACGCGGUAGAAAUUUUGAUUUGCGCUAGUGUAGCCUACCUCGUAUCCUAACAGUGGUAUCAAGAGCCUUAGCUGCUUAGUUUUGGAUUCGGGAUGUGUGCAUAUGGAGAUAUGCGAGUUCUCUGUUUGAUCUAUGUCCUGAUUUCGUGCCCUUGCUGCAAUGGUAGUGUAACGACAUACUCCUACCGGUCGGUUUCCGCCAUCGGAGUUAAGUGAUACACGUAAACCCAGUUGCAGUGAGGGAAGAUCAAUAUGAUUGGUCGAAUCGAGAUCCAGGGUCAUACGCCAGGCGCAUUAGAUGUGCUAUAGUAGAUGGGAUCUACUGCCGGGGUCGGGAUUUUGCCGUAUGCGCAUGCUGCGGUAAAUCAGCCGUAACUUUUCGGUACGAUCUCGGAUCGGGGCGAUUUCUAUACGAAAAUUGAUCUACAGAAAAAGUUACACGUGAAUUUCAACUGCUUUGCCGUUUUCGGCGAAAUUAGAUUUGCCAAAUUCGGCUUGGAAGAUGGAGUUUCGGGCCUCCCAAGUUUGGAACGUUAGGACGCCUAACUCUAUUUUGCAGGAUGUAUGCAUGUAACUUGUGAUCAGUAUGGCCCCCUUGUGUAUGCGAUGCAUGUGUGUAACUAAUUCGUGACCUGCGUGUCGCGCGUACGGCAACACGGCAGGAGCCAUAUGUGUUGUCACUUUAUUGUAAUUAAUGGUCUGCGUACCAAUCUGUGAUGAUCCAAGCAACUAUGUAAUUUUCAUUACUAGAUUCUUUACUAGCUAUUAGGUGUAAUAGCAUACUCUAGUUCUUGGAGGACUCAUCACCAGGAGGAUGGCGCACAUGGAACAUGGAGAUGAAGAUCACCAUGGUGAACAGGUUCUAUGGAGAUGGAGAUCACCAUAUGAAAACGGGCCAUACUGUGUCACAACUAUGUGAAUGCUAUUCUGUUUAUGUUUUACUUUCUGCAUGCUGUGAUGUUAGAAGUAGAACGAUCCCUCACAAAGUUUAAGUUAGUAUGCCCUCCCAACUAAAACUUGCACCGUCCCAUGUCUUGUACAAUUAGUGGUGGGUCUAUGAAAUUAGAGUGCCACUAGUUUUCCUUGACUAGACGGGUUUGUGUCGGACACUUACACGCAUAAGGGUUGGUUUACUUAACAAGGUUAUCUUAACGGUUAAGGACCUUGGGGCAUAAAGGUUGGGCGCCGAGACAUAGAGAUGUCACCCAACAACAGGAGUCAUAUGUGAUAUGAUUAGCAAAAGUUGCUUACCGAUCUACCUCGUUUGCUAGCGGUGAUGCUAAAGCUCACUAGUAGACUUGUUAGUUGUGGAUCCUGAAUCACUAAGUUUCAAUAGAGGGAUAUUGAUUUUAGUGGGAGUAGAUUCUGUUAAAAUAGUUUAAUGUAAUUUGCUCUAUCAUGGAUACGUUUGUCUUAGUGUAUUUUGCAUUACUUUUGUUGUAGAUUAAAUGGCACCUAGCAACACCACCACAUCGUUUGCUUUGCGUUCGGUCCUUGAGAAGGACAAGUUGAAUGGAACAAACUACUCGGAUUGGAUCCGCAACCUGAGAAUUGUUCUCAGGGCUGAGAAAAAGGAAGAUGUUCUAGACAACCCACUACCAGAAGAACCUGCUGAGGAUGCACCCGCUGCUGCUAAGAAUGCUUACAAGAAAGCAUGUGAUGCUAACCUUGAAGUAAGCUGCCUUAUGCUUGCUUGCAUGGAACCCGAGCUGCAGAUGCAGUUCGAAACAAACCAUGAGGCGCACGAUAUGAUCGUGGCGCUUAGAGACAUGUUCCAAACACAGGCCAGGACUGAAAGGUUCAAUGUGUCUAAGGCCUUUGUUGAGAGCAAGCUAGCAGAAGGCGCAGCAGUAGGACCACACGUAAUCAAGAUGGUUGGUUACACUCAACGGUUGGAGAAGCUAGGCUUCCCACUGGGCCAAGAGUUGGCCACUGAUUUCAUUCUUUCAUCUCUUCCGGCUAGCUAUGGGAACUUCAUCUCGAACUACCAUAUGCAUGGGACGGAGAAGGGUCUGAAUGAGCUGUGUGGUAUGCUCAAGACAGCAGAGGCUGACAUUAAGAAAAGCGCUAGUACCAGCCAUGUGAUGGCGAUACAGAACAAGCCCAGCUUUAAGAAGAAGGGCAAUUCUUGGAAGAAGAAGGGCAAGGCUGGAACGUCCAAGCCAAACCCAACGCCCAAGGCUAAAGCUGGACCUGGACCUGCUCCAGACAAAGAGUGCUUUUACUGUCAUGAACUUGGUCACUGGAAGAGAAACUGCAAGCAGUACCUAGCUUCGUUGAAGAACGGCGGAAGUAAGAGUACUUCUACCUCAGGUACGCUUGUUGUUAAUGUUAUAGACAACAUAUUUCUCGCUGAUACAGUUAUUAAUUCUUGGGUAUUUGAUACCGGAUCGGUUGCUCAUAUUUGCAAUUCGAUGCAGGGAAUGAUAAGAAGUAGAAGCGUGGAAAGAGGAGAAGUUGAUUUCCGCGUGGGCAAUAAUGCAAGAGUUGCUGCUUUGACCGUCGGGACGAUGCAACUCCACCUCCCGUCAGGAUUUAUUAUGGAGUUGAAUAAUUGUUAUUUUGUUCCUAGUUUAAGUCGAAACAUUUUGUCUCCUUCAUGUUUGAUGAGGGAUGGUUAUUCAUUUGCGAGUGAAAACAAUGGUUGUGUGAUCUCUAAGAAUAAUAUGUUUAUGGCUUUUGCACCCAUUGUGAAUGGAUUAUUUGUUUUAAAUCUUGAUGGUUCACCUGUCUGUAAUGUAAGUGCUAAAAGGCCUCGGCCUAAUGAUUUGAGUCCUACCUACUUGUGGCAUUGUCGUUUAGGUCAUAUAAGUGAAAAGCGCAUGAAGAAGCUCCAUUCUGAUGGACUUCUAACUUCGUUUGAUUUUGAAUCAUACGAGACAUGUGAGGCUUGCUUGCUAGGCAAGAUGACCAAGACGCCUUUCACAGGAUUUCCUGAGAGAGCAGUAGACUUGUUGGAACUCGUACAUAGUGAUGUAUGCGGACCAAUGAGCACGACGGCUAGAGGAGGAUUCCAAUACUUCAUAACUUUCACUGAUGAUUUUAGUAGAUAUGGAUAUGUCUACUUAAUGAGGCACAAGUCUGAAACCUUUGAAAAGUUCAAGGAAUUUCAGAAUGAAGUUGAAAAUCAGCGUGGCAAGAAAAUUAAGGCCUUACGAUCUGAUCGUGGAGGCGAGUAUUUGAGCCACGAGUUUAGCAAUCAUCUAAAGAGUUGCGGAAUUGUUCCACAACUUACGCCGCCUGGAACACCUCAGAGAAACGGUGUGUCCGAGCGACGUAAUCGAACUUUGUUAGACAUGGUUCGAUCAAUGAUGAGCCAGUCGGACCUACCGUUGUCAUUUUGGGGAUACGCUCUAGAAACAGCAGCUUUCACACUAAAUAGGGUACCAUCUAAAUCCGUAGUUAAGACACCAUAUGAGAUAUGGACUGGAAAGGUUCCUAGUCUGUCUUUUCUAAAGAUUUGGGGAUGUGAAGUGUUUGUCAAGCGACUUCAGUCGGACAAGAUCACACCCAAGUCGGAUAAGUGCAUUUUCGUGGGAUAUCCAAAGGAAACUUUGGGAUAUUAUUUCUACAACCGAUCAGAAGGCAAAGUGUUUGUCGCUCGGAACGGGGUUUUCCUAGAGAAAGAGUUUCUCAAAGGAGAAAAGAGUGGAAAGACAGUGCAUCUUGAAGAAGUUCAAGAUGAGCCAAUCGGGCAAGAAUCAAUGAGUGAUGCUAACGUAGCAGAACAAGUUGAGAUACCCAUGGCAAGAGAAGCACCGCCACAACCACGAAGGUCGGCAAGGCUCCGCGAAAUGCGGGAAAUAUUAUUGUUGGACAAUGAUGAGCCUGCGACAUAUGCAGAAGCAAUGAUGGACCCAGACUCCGAAAAAUGGCAGAGUGCCAUGCAAUCCGAAAUAGAGUCCAUGGGAGACAAUCAAGUUUGGAACUUGGUUGACCCACCUGAUGGUGUUAAAGCCAUAGAGUGCAAGUGGAUCUAUAAGAAGAAAAAGGACAUGGAUGGAAAUGUUCACAUCUACAAAGCACGACUUGUCGCAAAAGGUUUUCGACAAGUUCAAGGAGUUGACUACGACGAGACCUUCUCGCCCGUAGUGAUGCUUAAGUCCAUUCGGAUUAUUCUAGCUAUAGCUGCAUAUUUCGAUUAUGAGAUAUGGCAGAUGGAUGUCAAGACAGCUUUCCUGAAUGGAAACCUAGCUGAGGACGUGUAUAUGAUACAGCCCGAGGGUUUUGUCGAUCCGAAAAAUGCUGGAAAAGUAUGCAAGCUUCAGAGAUCCAUUUAUGGAUUGAAGCAAGCAUCUAGGAGUUGGAACAUUCGUUUUGAUGAAGUAGUCAAAGGGUUUGACUUCACCAAGAACGAAGAAGAGUCUUGUGUUUACAAGAAGGUUAGUGGGAGCUCUGUAGUAUUUCUAAUCUUAUAUGUGGAUGACAUAUUACUGAUUGGAAAUAACAUUCCUAUGCUUGAGUCCGUAAAGACUUCACUGAAAAAUAGUUUUUCGAUGAAGGACUUAGGGGAAGCGGCAUAUAUUCUGGGUAUUAAGAUCUAUAGAGAUAGAUCGAGAAGGCUUAUAGGUUUGAGCCAAGAUACUUAUAUUGACAAAGUGUUGAAGCGGUUCUGCAUGGAAGAGGCAAAGAAAGGGUUCUUGCCUAUGUCACAUGGCAUACAUCUCAGCAAGACUCAGUGUCCUUCGACUGCUGAUGAGCGGGAUCGCAUGAGUAGAGUGCCAUAUGCCUCGGCUAUUGGAUCUAUCAUGUAUGCAAUGAUAAGUACUCGCCCAGAUGUUUCAUAUGCGCUAAGUAUGACAAGCAGACACCAAUCUGAUCCAGGUGAGAGUCACUGGACAGCGGUGAAAAACAUUCUUAAGUACUUGAGAAGGACUAAAGAUAUGUUCCUCGUCUAUGGAGGUCAGGAGGAGCUCGUUGUAACAGGUUACACCGAUGCUAGUUUCCAAACCGACAGAGAUGAUUCAAAGUCGCAAUCGGGAUUUGUGUUCACGCUAAAUGGUGGUGCUGUUAGUUGGAAGAGUUCCAAGCAGGAGACGGUGGCCGAUUCUACGACAGAAGCCGAGUACAUCGCGGCUUCGGAAGCCGCGAAGGAAGGUGUUUGGAUAAGGAAUUUCCUCAUUGAGCUUGGUGUGUUCCCAAAUGCGUCCAGCCCAUUGAAUCUCUACUGUGAUAACAAUGGGGCAAUUGCGCAAGCAAAGGAGCCAAGGAACCACCAGAAGAACAAACACGUAAUGCGGCGAUUUCAUCUCAUUCGAGACUUCGUUAACCGGGGUGAGAUCAAGAUAUGCAAAAUACACACGGAUCUGAACAUUUCUGAUCCGUUGACAAAACCACUCCCGCAGGCUAAGCAUGAUGCGCAUGUAAGAGCUAUGGGUAUUAGGUACCUUCUAGAUUGACUCUAGUGCAAGUGGGAGACUGUUGGAGGUAUGCCCUAGAGGCAAUCAUAGAGAUGAUGAUAUUCCAUUUGAUAUUCCAUUUGUAUCCAUGAUUUGUAUAUUGUGUUCAUUGAAUAUCCAUUAAAGGCUACUUGAAUUGAUUUGCAAUUAUGUGAAUUGUAUGUGAAACUCUUUACUUGUAUGGUUAUUCUAAAGUUGUCCCUAGUCGGAGUUCAUGUGAGGACACACAUGAAUAUUAGACUAGCACAUGUAUUAGUUGAUGACUAUGUUUCACAAGUCAUGGACAUGGAGAUGUUGAACUAAUAAUGUGGACACAUGUGGAGACAUGUGUUAGGACUGACCCAGCACGAGAAGU